AUGGAAUCCGAAAUGUGUUUUUGUAUUAUUAUCAAAAGGAAAUCAGUUUGUUGAAAAUGUAGUAAAAAAAUAUGGUUCUAUCGAAUUAGGUAGCUACAGCAAUAUACAAAGUGAAGAUUGUUCAUUUAUGUACGAGUUAUUACAAUUUCAUUUUAAUUCAUUGUCGAA